UUUUUUUUUUUCCUUUUUGUGGAGAACGGGGUCUCGCUAUAUUACCCAGGCAGGUCUCGAACUCCUGGGCUCAAGCUAUCCUCCCGCCUCUGCCUCCCUGAGAGCUGGGAUUACAGGCGUGAGCCACCGCGCCCGGCCAAAAGGGGGGGUUUCAAAUUCAGUGUUGUUUGGAGGCAUGAAACAUAAAGGGGCCAUUAAAAAGUUUGCUGCGUAAGAGCAGGAUAUAGUGUGGCAAGGAGAGGAAGAGAGAAAAAAGUAGGAUCGAAAAGAACAGAUUGCAUCAUAGAAGGAAAGAAAAGCUUCUUGACGCGACCUGAACACUUGCAUGUUCAAGUCCCAUAGCUGUGUGCUUGUUCCUGAAGUGCUUCCAGUGGCUUCUGUCUGUGCCCAGCUCUCAGCCUGCAUAUAUGGUGGCUGCUCAGCAGAUGUUCAAAAGUAAUAUUAAGAUAGACUCUUUGGCUCAUGCCAUUGCUUUUUCUUGUGCCUCUGAAUUCCUGUUCUUGUUAGUAAAGGAUGCUUGUUUGUCAAAUGCAGGGCAGUAGGACAUUUUCUAGUAAAGGCUGUCUAAAUUCUUGUUUUCAGCUCUUUAAUGAAAACUUCCACAUAACAAGUCUCUUUGAGCAGUUGGUUGAAAGCCACAAGGGGAAAUAUAUUUUUAAAUAUUAAGAAGGGCCAGAAAAUAAUUUAACAAUAAAACAACUUUUUCAACCUCCUGGACCAGCUUUCUUGAACUCUAGGGAGUCUGCUAUUUUGAGAGCUUAGAGUCGCACUAACCUUGCAUUCAUUCAAAGUCAUCUCCUAUCUUUCCAAAACAUCGAUAUUUGCUUCAUACACAGAUGUUUCCUGCACAACCUUAAAUCCGCCAUUAACUUUCCCUGAAACUUUAGAACAGCCUAUUUUGUUGUUGUUGUUGUCUAUACAUAUUAUUUAAAGAGGCUACUACCAAUAUACUUGUGCUUGCUUGAUAAUGUAUUGGAAUAUAAGAUGUCAAGAUUGUGUGAGAAGUGAAUGACAAAGCAGGAUUAGGCACUGAGAGCUUGGGUGGGAAUGUCAUGGUUAUCGAGGCUGCACUGUGUUAGGCUGUCCAGGGAGAGAGUUGGAAGAAAGAGUUAAUUCCUUUUCUUCACAUAAAUAUAUUAUUUACCACUUAAAAUGUACUGGAUAUGGCCUUCAUAAGCAGAUGUAGGGAUUUUUGUUAAACUCAUAAUCCCAAGAAGAGGUCAAGAUUUCCAGCAUUUAUUUGGCACUUAAUUACUUAAUACUUUAUCCACCUUUUGGUUUCCUGUCUGAUGGCCAUAUUGUAACCCUCUUGAAGAGAGAGAGAGAGAGUAUCCUAUAUGUCUUAAUUGAUGGUGAUAUGGGAGAACCACUGAUCCCUGCAGUCAUUCCAGUGUCCUAGGUUUGAAAUUUUGGUGAGAGGAUUGGAUCUCAUUUUUCACCUUUUGCGGGAGGAGAAAGGAUGAGAACAUUUUAGUAGCAGAAGCUGUUUUGGGUGACUUUAAUCCCCUACUCAUUUUGGGGAAAAAAGGAAAAGUGUUGACAAUGCAUAAUGAACAGAGCUAUCGUGGGAAUUGCAAGAAAUAAUAAAUUUCCAUCGGGCGUUAUUUGGUAAGUACAGGAGUAAUACCUGUAAACCAGGUUUAAAAAUCAGAAACACUUUUAAAAUGUUAUGUUUAAAAUUUGCGUUCAACAAUACAUACAGUAACUGCUAAUGGUAGUCAUCUUGGCUAAAUAAAACAGCCUUUGCUUUCAAUAUUUCAUUUGUAAAUGUUACAUUGUUCUGAUAUUUAGUGAUAUUAAAUGUUUUUCCACUUUAAAUGUAUUUUAUAGAAGAAUGAUUAAAACCUUUUAAAAUUAAGGGUGUCCAUGACAGUGCCUGAGCUCAACCAGCAAUGGUAAAAGGGCAUCAGGAUUCCCUUUUGUUCUGUUACCUUGACUUGCAUGGGAAUUAACUGGUCCAAUGUGUCUUUUGGAAUGUGCUGUGUACUGGUGUAAUGUGCCACUAGCAACUCUAGGUAAUGUUUUCCAUUACCCAAGAAACUGACAUGCCCCAAUAAGUUAGGCAUACUGAGAAUCUUGAAAAAAAAAUGCAUUAUUCUAACCAACUAGAAUUUCCAUUUUAUUGAGCCGGGCCAUCAGAACAAUAGCAUCU
rnacentral:lncRNA from 1 species